GAUGAAGAACGCAGCGAAAUGCGAUAAGUAGUGUGAAUUGCAGAAUUCCGUGAAUCAUCGAAUCUUUGAACGCACAUUGCGCCUUCUGGUAUUCCGGAAGGCAUGCCUGUUCGAGAGUCAUUAACAACCGUUUCGAUCCCUUUCUUUCAGAAAUUACAAAGAGGAAAAGGGUUUGGUUAUGGUGGAGGAGGGAAAGGGAGCGUUUAGCCUGUAAAAAAAGAGGCUGUGUUCCGCCUCCCCCCCAAAAUUGAACAGGCGGUCGUGUGCGCCCACGCAUCGAGGUGUUGUAAAAGCUGCCACGGCACUUUUCACCUGUGCAGUGCGAGAUUGGCCAGCCGGUUUAAAAACCCCUCCAAACAAUCAAAGGUUGACCUCGGAUCAGGUAGGGAUACCCGCUGAACUUAAGCAUAUCAAUAAGCGGAGGA
rnacentral:misc_RNA from 1 species